GAUGAACGCUGGCGGCGUGCUUAACACAUGCAAGUCGAACGAUGAAGGGGGAGCUUGCUCCUCUGGAUUAGUGGCGAACGGGUGAGUAACACGUGAGCAAUCUGCCCCUGACUCUGGGAUAAGCGUUGGAAACGACGUCUAAUACCGGAUACGAGCCGAGAAGGCAUCUGCAUCGGAUGGAAAGAACUUCGGUCAGGGAUGAGCUCGCGGCCUAUCAGCUAGUUGGUGAGGUAAUGGCUCACCAAGGCGACGACGGGUAGCCGGCCUGAGAGGGUGACCGGCCACACUGGGACUGAGACACGGCCCAGACUCCUACGGGAGGCAGCAGUGGGGAAUAUUGCACAAUGGGCGCAAGCCUGAUGCAGCAACGCCGCGUGAGGGACGACGGCCUUCGGGUUGUAAACCUCUUUUAGCAGGGAAGAAGCGAGAGUGACGGUACCUGCAGAAAAAGCACCGGCUAACUACGUGCCAGCAGCCGCGGUAACAC
rnacentral:rRNA from 1 species